rnacentral:rRNA from 1 species
GGGUGAGUACAACGUGGGUAAUCUGCCUCGGAGUGGGGAAUAACACCGGGAAACCGGUGCUAAUACCGCAUACGACCACGGCUUCUUUGGAGGCCGUGAUGAAAGGUUUUAAUCGCUCUGAGAGGGGCCCACGCCCGAUUAGCUAGUUGGUGGGGUAAUGGCCUACCAAGGCAACGAUCGGUAGCCGGUCUGAGAGGACGGUCGGCCACACUGGAACUGAGACACGGUCCAGACUCC